GCCUCCGUGGCGCAGUGGUAAGCGCGGUGGAUUUACAAGACAGAGGUCCUGGGUUCGAUCCCCGGCUGAGCCG
rnacentral:tRNA from 1 species